rnacentral:hammerhead_ribozyme from 1 species
AUUCAGAUGAAGUCCUAAAUAAGACGAAAUGUACAUCCUGGAU